rnacentral:rRNA from 1 species
CCUACGGGAGGCAGCAGUGAGGAAUAUUGGUCAAUGGACGCAAGUCUGAACCAGCCAUGCCGCGUGCAGGAAGACGGCUCUAUGAGUUGUAAACUUCUUUUGUACGAGGGUAAACGCAGAUACGCGUAUCUGUCUGAAAGUAUCGUACGAAUAAGGAUCGGCUAACUCCGUGCCAGCAGCCGCGGUAAUACGGAGGAUUCAAGCGUUAUCGGGAUUUAUUGGGUUUAAAGGGUGCGUAGGCGGUCGGAUAAGUUAGAUGUGAAAUCCCGAGGCUCAACUUCGGAAUUGCCUGUGAUACUGUUAGGCUAGAGAGUAGUUGCGGUAGGCGGAAUGUAUGGUGUAGCGGUGAAAUGCUUAGAGAGCAUACAGAACACCGAUUGCGAAGGCAGCUUACCAAGCUACUACUGACGUUGAGGCACGAAAGCGUGGGGAGCAAACAGGAUUAGAUACCCUAGUAGUC